UAAAAUCAUACCUGCUAAAUUCAAAGGAUGCUUGUUUCUUUCCCAUAGAAAAGAGAACAUGGAUGCAGAAAGCAGACAAAGGAAGAAAAAGAACAUGAUAAAACAUAGGAACUACAAGAGACAAACUAUCAAGGCUAGUGGAGCAGCUUUUCUAGAAGUCUUCCAAAAUCUACUGGAGGAAACCAAUGCAACAAGGACGAUGUAUUCCAGUAUCUGCAAAGGGUGUAUCAUGCCAUCUUCUUUUAUGGACUCAUAAAUGACCCACAAGUCAAACCCAAGGAAUUUUUUCCUGCCAAUGCAUGGAAUAUGAUACAAAACGUGUUUCAAAGGCCUUUAGCAGAAUACAACACACACUUGCCAUCUCAGACGCCGUACUCCAUCCUCCUGGAAUAUAUUACCAAGAUUCAUGGUGGAAAGAAAGAGCCUAUCUUGGAAGAACUGGAGAAGAGGAACAAGGAAUUUUUGGUUAAGUUUUAUAAAGAUGAAAAAAAAUCAACUUAACCCCAAUACCUUUUCACUGUCUGCUACCGUCAUUUCUCACAGCUGUGUUAACAAACCCUACAGUGCCAACACCUACGGGGCAUCCAUUGCCUACAAAGGCAAUAAGCCCAGACAAUUAAUGAUUGCCAUAUCUGCCCUGUUGGUGUGGGACAAGGUUAUUUCAUACGAAGUGAGAUGUAAAGAAAGUGGUCGUGGUCUUCAGUUUCCCGAUGAAGUGUGUGGUUAUUCCUACAGGUUUAGCAACAAUAAAUAUAAGCCGGUUUCCCCCUGUACUAAAUGUUAUAAAUCGUAUAUUGUUAAAUUUGAUCCCAAGCAUGUGAAAACUGGCAAACCAGAGGAUUGGCCGCAUGGCAACUGUGCGGAAACAGAGUCUUUAAGUAAUCUGCUACGUUAUAACGAGAGCAUAAGAAACGUGGUACAUACUUAUGAUAAUAAUCAAGAGAUUGUGAAUAGAAAGACCAUAAUAGAGAGAUUCACCAAUGAACACGAGGAUGAGUUGCAGAAUGAGGUUAAAGACCUCCUCGAACCUUGCAGGUUCUAUGUAAACCAGAAUGGCUUAGAAUUGUUCACUCCUGCUGCCUUUGCUUAUAUUUAACCACUUGCCUAUCGGGCACUGUGACAGGAGUCACUUUGGGUGGGGGGUUUGUGCAACUCAGCUUACCUUGGAGAGCUCUGGAAACUCCGUGUCCAGCUUCCCCGGACCCUUUUAUGUGUAAAUCACCCUGUGUCUCUAAUAGGGGCACAGGGUGAAUGAGAAAUCCACUCUGAUCUGUACUAAUCAGACUCAAUCUUGUAUAGAUGUAUAUAUAGUGUAUAUUUUCUCAUUUUGUUGUGUACUCUUUGCUGUGAUUGUUUAGGGUGUGACUGUAUUCUAUUGUUCUAUUGUGGCUGUCUGCCUCAAAUAUUAUGGGAUGUGCAAGUGUGUUUGCUGUGAGGAAAGAGGGAGGGGGACUCCUCCAGCAGCCGCCUCUGAUAAGAAGUUUGAACACACCUGACCUGUGUGUCUAUGGUCAUUGGACAGUUUAACCUGCCCUGUUUUCCAAGGGUGGGGGGGAGAUGUCUUGAAGUGGGAUAUCUGUGUAACAUGUGUUCAAAUAAAGUAGUCUGCUGGUUUUCACCCUACACUGAAGUACGGCUGGUGACUGGGGGGGGGGGGGGGCUAGAGUCUUGGAUAGUGCUGGUUCUGGACAUAGGAAGCAUUGACGGCGGACAUAGUCCUGGGUUCGUCACAGGCGACCAUAAUUAAAAGAUUCACCAAUGAACACGAGGAUGAAUUGCAAAACAAGGUUAAAAGCCUCCUCGAACCUUGCAGGUUCUAUGUAAACCAGAAUGGCUUAGAAUUGUUCACUCCUGCUGCCUUUGCAUAUAUUUAACCACGUGCCUAUCGGGCACUGUGACAGGAGUCACUUUGGGUGGGGGGUUUGUGCAACUCAGCUUACCUUGGAGAGCUCUGGUAACUCCGUGUCCAGCUUCCCUGGACCCUCUUGUGUAAAUCACCCUGUGUCUCUAAUAGGGGCACAGGGUGAAUGAGAAAUCCAGUCUGAUCUGUACUAAUCAGACUCAAUCUUGUAUAUAUGUAUAUAUUGUAUAUUGACUCAUUUUGUUGUGUAGUCUUUGCUGUGAUUGUUUAGGGUGUGACUGUAUUCUAUUGUUCUAUGGUGGCUGUCUGCCUCAAAUAUUAUGGGAUGUGUAUGUGUGUUUGCUGUUAGGAAAGAGGGAGGGGGACUCCUCCAGCAGCCGCCUCUGAUAAGAC